rnacentral:rRNA from 1 species
CAAUUGCUUAUAACCUUUUGGUUAUAAAUAAUUGUUAGUGGCAGACGGGUGAGUAAUGCGUAGGAAUCUACCUAGUAGUAUGGAAAAGCCAUUAGAAAUGACGGGUAAUACUGUAUAAUCUCUGCGGGGGAGAGAUUUAUCGCUAUUAGAUGAGCCUACGUUAAAUUAGCUAGUUGGUAAGGUAAUGGCUUACCAAGGCUAUGAUCUAUAGCUGGUCUGAGAGGACGAUCAGCCACACUGGAACUGAGAUACGGUCCAGACUCCUACGGGAGGCAGCAGUGGGGAAUAUUGGACAAUGGGCGAAAGCCUGAUCCGGCUAUGCCGCGUGAGUGAAGAAGGCCUUCGGGUUGUAAAACUCUUUCAAUAGGGAAGAUAAUGACGGUACCUAUA